rnacentral:lncRNA from 1 species
UUAGCGAAACGGGAUACAUGCUCGAUGAACGAAGAUCCCAAAUGGCACCGCAUAAUCUUGAAGCCCAACUAUUGCUCAAAGAUCAUACAUUAGCCGAAGCAAGAGAGCAAGAAAAUAAAUGGGAUGAUUUGUUCGUAGAGUACCCCAUAUCCACGACCGAAGGCGACACCACCGAUGCGAGCGAGUCAUCUCAAUGCACCGAAGGCG